CAGUUAUUUUGCAUCUCAGGUAACCAACCAGCACUUGAUGAUGCAAAGAGGAUGCUGCGUCUUUUGCUUCCUGUUUACCUGGGAGGAGGUGUGAAAUGAAGUGCUAACGGCAGGGCACUGGAGAAAGUUUCAGUGGUAAUGUGUUUCUUGAGGAGGAAAAGCUUUCACCUGACGCAUUUCCUUGCCUGGAUUUGAGUCACACUGUGCUAUCUUAAACCGCCCUGGCUUUGCUUUUGAGAGAACCUAAAUUGAGUUGUCCUUGAUGGAUUCCCCUCAUCCUGCCUCUGGGAUCCUGUGCUCUCCUUCAGUUCCUGAGCCUCCUCUGCAGAAUCCUGUUGGGAAUUAAUCCAUGUCUUCCCUGAGUUUCCCUGUUUCAAUAAAUCCUCCGUAUACUGUAUCUAAUUUCUUCUGAAUUGAGGUGGGUGGUUGUAAAGCUAACCUGGUAGAAAAAUUUUUGUUAAGGAAUGUGCUACUAAUAGUGUCACAUUUAUACCUCUGGGAGCAUUUACAUUUUAAAGAGAAACUUUGAUGACUUUCCUCUAAGCAGGAAUUCCUGAGAGUAGAUGGAGGGAGCUGUUCUAAUGAGAACAACUUCUCCCACCUUCUCAGAUCACAUCCUGAAGGUGAUUGUCUUCUCUCACCCAUGAGACAAUCUUGUGUUGGCCAUUUCCCCAACUUAUAUUGUGUUGUAUCUCUACUGCAGACAAUGGUUAAAUUAUAAAUGUUAUAUCUAAGUGUGGACUUAAGAUAAUGAAUUAAUGUAAUGAAUUAAGUUGCAUUGAAAGAAACAUAAAUGUGGGAAUGUUUUGAUGACCAGAAGAGAGCAGAUGUUACUGCAAGGCUCCAGGAAGAGACUGGAGCAGGUACAAUAAGGAAAAGGUUAAAGCUAGAAACAAGAAACAGUAAGGGAUAAAAUACACAAAGGACUGGACAAAAGCAGUCACUUGGAACACAUCCUUGGGGAGGUAAAUUCUGUAAUAAAGGUUUGUUGAAUAAAUUAAUGCAUGAAUAGACAAUUUUUCCUUUCACAUCAGGAAAGAAUAUACAUGUGUCAUGUUUACCACGGUCCUUGUAACAUGGUGUGCUGAUUUCAAAAGUACAUCUACAAAUUCUUUGCUACUCCUCCGUUCAAGAGUUGGAGACUAAUUCCCCUUCCCUGAGUAUGGGCUAGAUUUAGUGACUUGCCUCUAAGGAAUAGAUUGAAAUGCAAGUGAUGGUGUGCAACUUUGGAGAACAGGUCAUACAAAGGCACUGUGGCUUCUGCCUUGCUUACGCCUCUCAAAUUGUUCCCUUGGGGGAAGUCAGUGGCCAUGUUGCUCUAUGGAGAGGCCCACCUGGUGAGGAACUUAAGCCUCCCAACAAGAGCCACGUGCUUGAGCUUGGAAGCUUUCUGAUUACUGCAGCCUGCAUGUCUCCCCACCAACAGGCUGACUCCAGCCUCAUGAUAGUCCCUGAGCCAGAAGGAUCUAAGUGAACUCCUUCGGAAUUCCUGACCCUCCGAAACUGGGAGAGAUAAUAAAUACUUGUUUUAAACUGUUAAGCUGCUAGAUUUUAGGGUAAUUUGUACAAUAGAUAAGUUUUAAUUAGUAAUUUGUACAACAAGAAUAGAUUAAUAUACAGGGCACAACCUCAAUGGUAGUGGUGGUAGUGGUUGUGAUGAUAAUGAUGAUGAUGAUGAUGAUGAUAAUGAUGAAGAUGAAGAUCUUGGCGAUGGAAGAGGAGGAGGAAGGUGGUGGUAUUAGCCCAAAACAAGUAUUACUCCCUGUUUGGGAGAAGAGACAAAUCUUUCUUAUAAACCCUUUUCAUAAUUUUUUCUUCGGCUUUUGUCCGAACUAUGAGACAGAGAGUGCUGUGAUGUCGCUUCAGCGGUGUGCUCUUGCUGGCGACUGGAAAAGCUUUAUUUGUUUUUGGCUGUGCUGCAUUCUCCCCUGGGACCCUGACUCUGUGACACUUUAUGAGAGGAUACACGCAGUGAUGUUUCACUUCAUACAGAGCUCUGCCUCGGUGUCAAGAGAAAUGGUCUUUCACUCUCUUUGUGAAAGUACAAGGCUCUGAGCAGUGUUAGUCUUACCAAAAUUACAUGUCUAGGACAAAAUUCAGAUGCAAUCUAGAGAUAUGUGCUUGCUUAUGCAUAAAUGACUGCUAUAACUUCUGACAUCUUCAGGCUUUAAAAUGGAGAUGAGAACAAUUUGGGUUCUGCUGGUCACUCACCUUGGAUUGAUGAGCUGUGGAGGAUCACGUAAUGGUAAUGGUAAUGAUAGUAAUAGCUACUAUGUGUAGGCCAGCCACUUCAUGUGAACAUAUACAUCAUCUGCUAUGCUCAUCACAACCCUGAUUACUGAGAAGACUGAGUUUCAAAGAAGUUAAUUAACCCAAUGUCACCAGUAGCGAUGAGGCUGGGCUUCAAACCCAGUUCUGAUGAUCUCCAAAGAAUGACUUCUCUCCACUGUACCACACUGUACCCUUUCUUGCUACACAAACAUUGACAACUUUAAGAAGAUAAAUGCUUGUAUCCAGUUUAUGGAACUA